UACAGAGGUCCCGAGCGUUGUUCGGAUUCAUUGGGCGUAAAGGGUGCGUAGGCGGUUUUCUAAGUUUGAUGUGAAAUCCCGGGGCUCAACCCUGGAAUUGCAUUGAAUACUGGGAGACUAGAGUACUGGAGAGGAAACUGGAAUUUACGGUGUAGCAGUGGAAUGCGUAGAGAUCGUAAGGAAGACCAGUGGCGAAGGCGAGUUUCUGGACAGUUCCUGACGCUGAGGCACGAAGGCCAGGGGAGCAAACGGG
rnacentral:rRNA from 1 species